UUAAGUUAGAAAGGGCGCACGGUGGAUGCCUUGACACUAGGAGUCGAUGAAGGACGGGACUAACGCCGAUAUGCUUCGGGGAGCUGUAAGUAAGCUUUGAUCCGAAGAUUUCCGAAUGGGGAAACCCACCAUACGUAAUGGUAUGGUAUCCUUAUCUGAAUACAUAGGAUAAGGAAGACAGACCCAGGGAACUGAAACAUCUAAGUACCUGGAGGAAGAGAAAGCAAAUGCGAUUUCCUGAGUAGCGGCGAGCGAAACGGAACAUAGCCCAAACCAAGAGGCUUGCCUCUUGGGGUUGUAGGACAUUCUAUACGGAGUUACAAAGGAACGAGGUAGACGAAGCGACCUGGAAAGGUCCGUCGUAGAGGGUAACAACCCCGUAGUCGAAACUUCGUUCUCUCUUGAAUGUAUCCUGAGUACGGCGGAACACGUGAAAUUCCGUCGGAAUCUGGGAGGACCAUCUCCCAAGGCUAAAUACUCCCUAGUGAUCGAUAGUGAACCAGUACCGUGAGGGAAAGGUGAAAAGCACCCCGGAAGGGGAGUGAAAGAGAUCCUGAAACCGUGUGCCUACAAAUAGUCAGAGCCCGUUAACGGGUGAUGGCGUGCCUUUUGUAGAAUGAACCGGCGAGUUACGAUCCCGUGCGAGGUUAAGCUGAAGAGGCGGAGCCGCAGCGAAAGCGAGUCUGAAUAGGGCGUUUAGUACGUGGUCGUAGACCCGAAACCAGGUGAUCUACCCAUGUCCAGGGUGAAGUUCAGGUAACACUGAAUGGAGGCCCGAACCCACGCACGUUGAAAAGUGCGGGGAUGAGGUGUGGGUAGCGGAGAAAUUCCAAUCGAACCUGGAGAUAGCUGGUUCUCCCCGAAAUAGCUUUAGGGCUAGCCUUAAGUGUAAGAGUCUUGGAGGUAGAGCACUGAUUGGACUAGGGGUCCUCAUCGGAUUACCGAAUUCAGUCAAACUCCGAAUGCCAAUGACUUAUCCUUAGGAGUCAGACUGCGAGUGAUAAGAUCCGUAGUCAAAAGGGAAACAGCCCAGACCGCCAGCUAAGGUCCCAAAGUGUGUAUUAAGUGGAAAAGGAUGUGGAGUUGCUUAGACAACUAGGAUGUUGGCUUAGAAGCAGCCACCAUUUAAAGAGUGCGUAAUAGCUCACUAGUCGAGUGACUCUGCGCCGAAAAUGUACCGGGGCUAAAUACACCACCGAAGCUGCGGAUUGAUACCAAUGGUAUCAGUGGUAGGGGAGCGUUCUAAGGACAGUGAAGUCAGACCGGAAGGACUGGUGGAGUGCUUAGAAGUGAGAAUGCCGGUAUGAGUAGCGAAAGACGGGUGAGAAUCCCGUCCACCGAAUGCCUAAGGUUUCCUGAGGAAGGCUCGUCCGCUCAGGGUUAGUCAGGACCUAAGCCGAGGCCGACAGGCGUAGGCGAUGGACAACAGGUUGAUAUUCCUGUACCACCUCUUUAUCGUUUGAGCAAUGGAGGGACGCAGAAGGAUAGAAGAAGCGUGCGAUUGGUUGUGCACGUCCAAGCAGUUAGGCUGAUAAGUAGGCAAAUCCGCUUAUCGUGAAGGCUGAGCUGUGAUGGGGAAGCUCCUUAUGGAGCGAAGUCUUUGAUUCCCCGCUGCCAAGAAAAGCUUCUAGCGAGAUAAAAGGUGCCUGUACCGCAAACCGACACAGGUAGGCGAGGAGAGAAUCCUAAGGUGUGCGAGAGAACUCUGGUUAAGGAACUCGGCAAAAUGACCCCGUAACUUCGGGAGAAGGGGUGCUUUCUUAACGGAAAGCCGCAGUGAAUAGGCCCAAGCGACUGUUUAGCAAAAACACAGCUCUCUGCGAAGCCGUAAGGCGAAGUAUAGGGGGUGACACCUGCCCGGUGCUGGAAGGUUAAGGAGAGGGGUUAGCGUAAGCGAAGCUCUGAACUGAAGCCCCAGUAAACGGCGGCCGUAACUAUAACGGUCCUAAGGUAGCGAAAUUCCUUGUCGGGUAAGUUCCGACCCGCACGAAAGGUGUAACGAUUUGGGCACUGUCUCAACCAGAGACUCGGUGAAAUUAUAGUACCUGUGAAGAUGCAGGUUACCCGCGACAGGACGGAAAGACCCCGUGGAGCUUUACUGUAGCCUGAUAUUGAAUUUUGGUACAGUUUGUACAGGAUAGGCGGGAGCCUUUGAAACCGGAGCGCUAGCUUCGGUGGAGGCGCUGGUGGGAUACCGCCCUGACUGUAUUGAAAUUCUAACCUACGGGUCUUAUCGACCCGGGAGACAGUGUCAGGUGGGCAGUUUGACUGGGGCGGUCGCCUCCUAAAGUGUAACGGAGGCGCCCAAAGGUUCCCUCAGAAUGGUUGGAAAUCAUUCGUAGAGUGCAAAGGCAUAAGGGAGCUUGACUGCGAGACCUACAAGUCGAGCAGGGACGAAAGUCGGGCUUAGUGAUCCGGUGGUUCCGCAUGGAAGGGCCAUCGCUCAACGGAUAAAAGCUACCCCGGGGAUAACAGGCUUAUCUCCCCCAAGAGUCCACAUCGACGGGGAGGUUUGGCACCUCGAUGUCGGCUCAUCGCAUCCUGGGGCUGUAGUCGGUCCCAAGGGUUGGGCUGUUCGCCCAUUAAAGCGGUACGCGAGCUGGGUUCAGAACGUCGUGAGACAGUUCGGUCCCUAUCCGUCGUGGGCGUAGGAAAUUUGAGAGGAGCUGUCCUUAGUACGAGAGGACCGGGAUGGACGCACCGCUGGUGUACCAGUUGUUCUGCCAAGGGCAUAGCUGGGUAGCUAUGUGCGGAAAGGAUAAGUGCUGAAAGCAUCUAAGCAUGAAGCCCCCCUCAAGAUGAGAUUUCCCAUAGCGUAAGCUAGUAAGAUCCCUGAAAGAUGAUCAGGUUGAUAGGUUCGAGGUGGAAGCAUGGUGACAUGUGGAGCUGACGAAUACUAAUAGAUCGAGGACUUAACCAU
rnacentral:rRNA from 1 species